rnacentral:lncRNA from 1 species
AGACCCACGUCUGUCUGUUCCGCCCCUGCUGCCAGGGUGGCUUUCAGUGGUCCUCUCUUUCGGAGAGUUCCCCCCAAGCGUGAGCACCCCUUACAGGGGCGUUAGGUCCGCGGCCGCGCUGUCCAGUGGUCUGACCUGCAGCUCCCAGGGCCUUUGUGUCUGUCCCUCGCAUGGGCCUCUGCACGCUCCGUCCCCACGCGACAGGACUCGAGUCCGAUUCGGGGCUCCGACUCAGACCCUACCCCGCAGCGCCCUCCUGCAAAUGCUCUCCUGAACUUUGGUUUUCCCCGCCUUGCUUUCUUCCUCCUCCUGUAGCCGCUGCCUCUCGAUCUCAGAAGCUUCUCUUCCUCUGCACUCAGUGCUAGGCCAGAUCCCAAGGCGACCUGACCUUUCCCCUGGCUUUGCCCAACAACACAGGCACCGGUGACUCCAAACCUGCAUCUCCCCUACGUUCCAGGCCCCAGCAUCCCACUGCAUGUUCCACAUCCCCCCCCCUUAGACAGCUCGCCUUCCCUCCCCAAACGAUUCCUUCCACAGUCUUCACUUUCUCAGAACGCGGCGCUAAACUUCUCUAAGUUGGAAGGUCAAAAACCUUGCAGCUAACUUUGAUUCCUCCCUUUGCCUCACCUCCAAUCCAUCAAGACCUUGUCACUCAGCCCACAAGCUGAAGGCCCCAUCUCCUGUCACCCAGACUACUCACCUUGUUUGGUUUUGCCUGGAUCUAUCAGUUUGGUUUUGCCUGGAUUUAUCAUGCUUUAAAUCUUUAAAAUGAAAUUAAAUCAUGAUCCCCUACAUCCAGGCUAAAACCCUCCGUGAAUUCCCAUUGCACCUAAAAUCCACACUCCCUGCUUGGCCUAGCAGGUUCUAUAUGACCUGCCCAUCUCACCAGUUUCAUCUCUCACAAGUGAUCCUUCACUCUCCAUUCUCCAGCCACAAGGCCUUUUUCUGGUUAUGGAAUAUAAUUCAUACUCUUUGUCUUUCUGAAGCCAUUCUUGAAACUCACCCCUGCAAUCUAUCUACCCUUGUCAGCACCGCCAAAAUUGAGGACACCCACGGUCGCGGUGGAGCCUGUCUGACAUGUUGAGCCAGGCAGUGGGUCGGCUGCCAGGCACAGCAGGACAACUUACUGCAUUUCAGAGGAAUGAUGGUCCACAAUUUACUGAUGAGGAAACAGAGAUUCAGAGAAGUUCUACAAUUUGCCCCAAAGCCACAUAACAUGACUAGGUGGGAACUAGAACCCAAGUCGGCCUGACUCCAUGAGUUUUCUGCCUCACAGGAGAUCCACUGGCUUAGAGUUUCUCUCUCGUCGCCCAGGCUGGCGUGCAAUGGCACAAUCUUGGCUCACUGCAAUCUCCGCCUCCCGAGUUCAAGCAGUCCUGCCUCAGCCUCCUGAGUCUCUUUUGAUUUGGUGCUGUCACAGGUUGGGUUCUUUGGAUGUGGACUCUGUGACAGGCAAAAUCACACCUGGCUCGGCUGCUCCCAGGGACUGCUGUCUCCAUUGACCUUGGUGUAUCUCUGCUGAUUGGCCCCCAUAGUGGGACCCAGAUGUUGAGGUUCUCCAGCUGGGCUGCAGAUGUAUCUUCUUCUGAAAGGUGGCAGGGACACUGUGACUGCAUCACUGAGGCAACAUAUGGCAAUAAAGGAAGAGAAGGGGAAAGCCCAGGCCAGGGCAGACCUGCACUUUUCUGUUUUUCUCUCUCCUCCUUGCAACACGCUUCACGGAUGCAUCCUCUAGAGCACUAAGACAGCACAGCUGAGUCAGAACAAGUUCCCACUCCAGCAGUGGGUACAGAAAUGCCAACAGACCAUGACAAUUCAGUGUGAUGGGGGCCAUUGGAGCACUGAGAAGGGACACUUGGCUUUACUGAAACCUGUUAGUGUCUGUGGAGAUAGAGCAAAGUGAGAGACUGUAUAUGCCUGAAAGAGAUGGCCACUCCAGAUACAAGGCAAACACUCAUUUUCAUCAUAGGGUCACUCCAAGUUGUUUUGUGGGUUGUUUUUUUUUUGCAACUAAAAUAUAAACUUUUUAGAGAUGCAAAUGUCCACAUAUAAUAGUUUAUUUAGCUACAGGUACAUACUUUAAAUCACAUAUUUAAAACAAUAUAUUGAUUCACGAACAUUGAUUUUCCCCACACUCACAUUUUCAGUAAACUAUAUUCAACUCUUCACAUGAAUCUUGGAUUUCUGUAUUUUCACCAUGAGUCGCUUUUUGAGUCAUCUAAUAGAAUCUCUCAAAGCAUAUCAUCACUUUCCCUCCCUUCUAAGUUGAGAGAGAGAGCAAACAACUUUUUUUUUUUUUUGAGACGGAGUUUCGCUCUUGUUGCCCAGGCUGGAGUGCAAUGGUGUGAUCUCGGCUUACUGCAGCCUCCGCCUCCCGGGUUGAAGCGAUUCUCCUGCCUCAGCCUCCCGAGUAGCUGGGAUUACAGGCCCGCACCACCACGCCCAGCUAAUUUUUUAUAUUUUUAGUAGAGAUGGGGUUUCACCGUGGCCAGGGUGGUCUUGAACUCCUGACCUCAGGUGAUCCACCCACCUUGGCCUCCCAGAGUGCUGGGAUUACAGGUGUGAGCCACCGUGCCCGGCCAACUUUUUUUACUUAGAUUUUUUUUUUACUUAAAAAAUAAUUUUUGUUGAGGAAUAAUUUACAUAUAAAAUACAUCCAUUUUUAAGUGUAAAAUUUGUGCUUUGACAAAUGUAUACCCUCAUGUAACCUCCACCCAAUCAAGAUAGAGAAUAUUUCCACCACCCCAAAAUGUUUCCUGGUGCGCCUUCGCAGUCAGUCUCCUCUGUCCCCAUCCAGCAACCACUGAUUGACUUUCUGUCACUACGGAUUAGUGUUGCCUAUUCUGGAAUUUCACAUAAAUGGAAUCAUACAGUAUGUACUCUUGUGUCUGCGUUCAGCAUAAUGUUAUUUAGAUUCAUCCAUGUUGCUGCAAAGGGAAUACUUUCUGAAUUAGUAUGUGAUGUUAUCACUGAAAAUUGUAACCUAAGCAUAAUUACCUUUUAGUAUAACAUUAAGAUGUUGCUUUUCCCCCCUCAAUUCCUCUAUGGAUAUAUACUAAUAAUCUUCAAAAUAACCAGUUACUGUAUUGCUUUAAACAUGUUAUGAAAAAUCUCUGCUGGGCAUGGUAGCUCACACCUAUAAUAUCAGUAUCUGGGGAGGCUGAGACAGGAAGAUUGCUUGACCCCAAGAGUUGGAGACCAGCCUGGGCAACAUAGUGAGGCCUUGUCUCUAAAAAUAUAAAAAUAAAAAAAUUAGCCAGGCAUGGUAGCAUGCACCUGUAGUCUCAGCUCUUCAGGAAGUUGAAGUCGGAGGAUUGUUUGAGCCCAGGAGUUCAAGGCUAUAGUGAGCUAUGAUCACACCAGUGUACUCCAGCCUGGGCAACAGAGGUGAGACCCUGUGUCUAAAUAAAAAAGACAUUUUUAAAGAAAAAUCUUGGCCAGGUACGGUGGCUGGGCCGGGUGCAGCGGCUCACACCUGUAAUCCCAGCACUUUGGGAAGCUGAGGUGGGCAGAUCACCUGAGGUCAGGAGUUCGAGACCAGCCUGGCCAACAUGGCGAAACCCGGUCUCUACUAAAACUACAAAAAAAUUAGCAUUACAAGUGGCACAUGCCUGUAAUCCCAGCUACUCAGGAGGCUAAGGCAGGAGAAUUGUUUAAACCUGGGAGGCAGAGGUUGCAGUGAGCCGAGGUUGUACCACUGCACUCCAGCCUGGGCAACAGAGCAAGACUCCAUCUCAAAAAAAGAAAAAGAAUGGUUUUAGGUCUAACGUUUAAGUCUUUAAUCCAUCUUGAAUUAAUUUUUGUAUAAGGUGUAAGGAAGGGAUCCAGUUUCAGCUUUCUACAUAUGGCUAGCCAGUUUUCCCAGCACCAUUUAUUAAAUAGGGAAUCCUUUCCCCAUUGCUUGUUUUUCUCAGGUUUGUCAAAGAUCAGAUAGUUGUAGAUAUGCGGCGUUAUUUCUGAGGGCUCUGUUCUGUUCCAUUGAUCUACAUCUCUGUUUUGGUACCAGUACCAUGCUGUUUUGGUUACUGUAGCCUUGUAGUAUAGUUUGAAGUCAGGUAGCGUGAUGCAUCCAGCUUUGUUCUUUUGGCUUAGGAUUGACUUGGCGAUGCGGGCUCUUUUUUGGUUCCAUAUGAACUUUAAAGUAGUUUUUUCCAAUUCUGUGAAGAAAGUCAUUGGUAGCUUGAUGGGGAUGGCGUUGAAUCUAUAAAUUACCUUGGGCAGUAUGGCCAUUUUCAUGAUAUUGAUUCUUCCUACCCAUGAGCAUGGAAUGUUCUUCCAUUUGUUUGUAUCCUCUUUUAUUUCAUUGAGCAGUGGUUUGUAGUUCUCCUUGAAGAGGUCCUAGGCAUUACCAUUCAGGACAUAGGCAUGGGCAGGACUUCAUGUCUAAAACACCAAAAGCAAUGGCAACAAAAGCCACAACUGACAAAUGGGAUCUAAUUAAACUAAAGAGCUUCUGCACAGCAAAAGAAACUACCAUCAGAGUGAACAGGCAACCUACAAAAUGGGAGACAAUUUUCACAACCUACUCAUCUGACAAAGGGCUAAUAUCCAGAAUCUACAAAGCACUUAAACAAAUUUACAAGAAAAAAACAAACAACCCCAUCAAAAAGUGGGCAAAGGACAUGAACAGACACUUCUCAAAAGAAGACAUUUAUGCAGCCAAAAAACACAUGAAAAAAUGCUCACCAUCACUGACCAUCGGAGAAAUGUAAAUCAAAACCACAAUGAGAUACCAUCUCACACCAGUUAGAAUGGCAAUCAUUAAAAAGUCAGGAAACAACAGGUGCUGGAGAGGAUGUGGAGAAAUAGGAACACUUUUACACUGUUGGUGGGACUGUAAACUAGUUCAACCAUUGUGGAAGUCAGUGUGGUGAUUCCUCAGGGAUCUAGAGCUAGAAAUACCAUUUGACCCAGCCAUCCCAUUACUGGGUAUAUACCCAAAGGACUAUAAAUCAUGCUGCUAUAAAGACACAUGCACACGUUUGUUUAUUGUGGCACUAUUCACAAUAGCAAAGACUUGGAACCAAGCCAAAUGUCCAACAAUGAUAGACUGGAUUAAGAAAAUGUGGCACAUAUACACCAUGGAAUACUAUGCAGCCAUAAAAAAUGAUGAGUUCAUGUCCUUUGUAGGGACAUGGAUGAAACUGGAAAUCAUCAUUCUCAGUAAACUAUCGCAAGAACAAAAAACCAAAC